AAAAUUUAAAACUAGGGUGUCAGCGAGAAAGCCAUUCGGCCUACCAGUAGCCCUACGAAACCUCUCUCUUCUGCAUGUGAAACCUCUCUCCUUCUCUCUUCUGCGAAAAUAGGAAAACAUCUCUCCCUCUCUCUCUACGCGAAACCCUCUUUUGAGGCAAAAUCUAGACUCUCCCUCUCUCUCUCUCUCUCCCCUGUGAAACCAUCUUUUGCUUUGGCCUGUUUGAAAGCCACAAAGAACCAGCUCUACGAGCAACAACAACCAACAAGACAACAAGCAACAUUCUCUCUCUCUCCUACUCUUCUUAAAAAAACAGCCUUACAAGCAUCAAUGACCAGCAAGGUGAAUGAGGCAAGGCUCUCUGUCUCUCUAACUAGGGCAACAAGACAAGGAUGGGAGGGUGUUCCUCUAUCUCUCUCCACGGAGCACAACAAAGUUUGAAAGUGCGCCAAAUCCAAAGCUUCUUGGACACCUUCUGAUGGAACAAUAUCAGGUUGCAACCUCAAGAAGCACAGAAGGCAAUGAUUGAAAUCAAGAAGCAGAAUGUUGUUUUUGAUGCGAAAGUUUUAAGUUCACAAGAUUUGGUUACAAUAUAUAUGUACUUAUAAUGGCUUUGUAAUGGUUCGUCUUUGAAUUUCACUCUCUUAGAGCUUCAAAAUGUUUGAAGGCUUCUUAUAAUGGCUUGACUUUGAAUUUCUAUCAUUGGGUUGGUUUGUUCCCAAUGCUAAUUUGCUAUUGCACAGCAAGCAUAAGUUCUUGGCAAGCAUAAGUUCUUGUUGGUCA